ACGUACACUCCUACGGGAGGCAGCAGUGGGGAAUAUUGGACAAUGGGCGCAAGCCUGAUCCAGCCAUGCCGCGUGAGUGAUGAAGGCCCUAGGGUUGUAAAGCUCUUUCACCGGAGAAGAUAAUGACGGUAUCCGGAGAAGAAGCCCCGGCUAACUUCGUGCCAGCAGCCGCGGUAAUACGAAGGGGGCUAGCGUUGUUCGGAAUUACUGGGCGUAAAGCGCACGUAGGCGGAUCGAUCAGUCAGGGGUGAAAUCCCAGGGCUCAACCCUGGAACUGCCUUUGAUACUGUCGAUCUGGAGUAUGGAAGAGGUGAGUGGAAUUCCGAGUGUAGAGGUGAAAUUCGUAGAUAUUCGGAGGAACUCCAGUGGCGAAGGCGGCUCACUGGUCCAUUACUGACGCUGAGGUGCGAAAGCGUGGGGAGCAAACAGGAUUAGAUACCCCAGUAGUCCC
rnacentral:rRNA from 1 species